CAACCAUUUAACUGUAUUUAAAGGGCAACCAGAGACUGUCUCAGUCAUCAGCUCUGGUCAACUCAUCUGUAAACCUUGUUCUGGAAAAACGCAGAGGAAACGACUCCAGCAUCAUGAAAAUCAUUGUAGUUCUGAUGUGCCUCAUUGGCCUGGUUUUGGCAAAUUCUGAUUCAGUUGAGAAAGAGCACCAACGGGUUGCCCGGUCCAGCUCCAACUCCAAUGAGAUCUUCAAACCCUACCUGCGUAAUCAGUUCAUGCAGAGCCUGCUGUAUCAACUUCUGGGGCUCAUCCCAACCCCUGCCCCAAAUCCUGCUCCUGCUCCUGCUCCAGCUCCUGCUCCGGCUCCUGCUCCAGCACCUGCUCCUGCGGGUAGACGCUAACAGCCUACAUGAAAAAGCUGGAGAAGAUCUGUUAUUCUGAGUGUCUGCAGCAGUAUAGUGUACGUGUAGGAGAAAUCAUAAGUGCUCAGGUCUGCUGCUUUAAGUGUAAUUCAUCUUUCAAUCAAUGAUCAUCUUUUGAAUAAUCAAAUAAAAACACUUCUCAUAAC
rnacentral:lncRNA from 1 species